GGCCACGUGGCUAGUAGUUUGAGCAUCGGACUACAACUCUGAAGACCAGGGUUCGAUUCCCAGCUCAGCCA